GGCAGUCCCCCUGACCGGGGCCUGUCCGUAGCGGGUGCGAGGCCCAUAGCCGCCGCGGCCGUCUCGAAUGCGAUCUCCUUGGAGUCGGGUUGCUUGGGAGUGCAGCCCUAAUCGGGUGGUAAACUCCACCUAAGGCUAAAUACCGCCGUGAGACCGAUAGCAAACAAGUACCGUGAGGGAAAGUUGCAAAGAACUUUGAAGAGAGAGUUCAAAAGUACGUGAAACUGCUCARAGGUAAACGGGUGGGCCCUCGAAAUCCUGUGGCGAGAGGAUUCAGUCUGGGUCGGCGCGACGCGCGGGAGGAAGAUUUCAGGGCUUCCGCCGAGAGCGGGCCGUCCUCCCGUGCGAGAUCGUCCGUUCCAGACGCAUUUGUCUCUCGUCCCGAGGACGCUGCAGCCGGUCUGGGAGUGCAAGCGCGACGGCCUGAAGGUCGGGAGCCGGAAGGUGGCCGGUGGCUCGCCUCGUGCGGGUCGCCGGUUGUUAGCCGUCCCGACAGUGGCUCGUCUCCAGACCGUGGUGUCGCGAGUCCCUCCGGGGACUCUCCGUCUCCACCCCAGCUGUCGCAGGACGGGACCCGGCCAGGGUCUCCUACUCCGACCGUCGCACUUCCACGGAGUGGGCGGACGGGCUGGGAGCCCGAAUCGCCGGGGCGGACCUGCGGGGGACCGGAGGCUGGCAGCGAGUAGGUCGGUCACCCACCCGACCCGUCUUGAAACACGGACCAAGGAGUAUAACAUGUGCGCGAGUCAAUGGGUCUUGACUAGGCCCAUGGGCGCAAUGAAAGCGAAGGACUUCCGAGCGGAGUCUGAGUGGGGAUCCCCCGGUUUUUKRUCCGGGGGCGCACCCGCGACCCGUCCUAUCCGGCUCGCCGGUUGGGCGGAGUCUGAGCGUACACGU
rnacentral:rRNA from 1 species